rnacentral:rRNA from 1 species
AUACAGAGGGUGCAAACGUUGUUCGGAAUUACUGGGCAUAAAGCGCACGUAGGCGGCCAGGUAAGUGUGAAGUGAAAUCCCACGGCUCACUCGUGGAACUGCUUUGCAUACUGCUUGGCUAGAGCAAGGUAGGGGAGAGCAGAACUCUUGGAGGAGCGGUGAAAUGCGUAGAUAUCAAGAGGAAUACCAGUGGCGAAGGCGGCUCUCUGGUCCUUUUCUGACGCUGAGGUGCGAAAGCUAGGGUAGCGAACGGGAUUAGAAACCCCGGUAGUCC